rnacentral:rRNA from 1 species
GACGGACCACCCAAACGUUAUUCGGAAUCACUGGGCUUAAAGGGCGCGUAGGCGGCCUUCUAAGUCAGACGUGAAAUCCCCGGGCUCAACCCGGGAACUGCGUCUGAUACUGGAAGGCUUGAAUCCGGGAGAGGGAUGUGGAAUUCCAGGUGUAGCGGUGAAAUGCGUAGAUAUCUGGAGGAACACCGGUGGCGAAGGCGGCAUCCUGGACCGGUAUUGACGCUGAGGCGCGAAAGCCAGGGGAGCAAACGGG